rnacentral:ribozyme from 1 species
AUGAGUUGAGUAAAUUCCUUGCCAUCGCGGGCUGAGAUGGCGGUGAUGCU